CAAAACUAAAACCACUUUGUUUCGAAAUUGGCUUUGCUCAAUCGGCUAAUCAGCGAAUCGGGUUUUGGAUUUGAUCAGAUCCCGGGCCCGUAUGAAAUCUAUGGUCGGUCCCCACCUGAAGAAACGAGAGGCAGAGAGAAACCAAAGAGAUGAGCUAACGGCAUCGACAAGCCACACGAUUUGAUUCUCUACCAUGAUAUAUAUAUUGUUUCCUUUGACAAAUCGCAGCACAAAUUCCAAUACCCAUUUUCAGUUUCCUAGAUUUUGAAACAUGGAAGCUUGGUGAUUUUGAUAAGGUUUAUAUUGAGUUAACAAAAGAUGUUGCCUGUUUGCUCUGCCACUCAGUGUUGUUCCUCUCAUUCUCAGGUGAGUUUCACUUCCUAGACUGUAAUUUAAUUCGUGUUGUUGCCAAGUUUCUAUCAUCCUUGUACCUCGGAUUUCAUCUAUGCCCUUAGUUUUGGGGAUGCAUGACCUCUAAUUAGGUGGAGAACAAGCCGGGACUAUAAUUGAAUUUUUGCUAAAGAGAAAAAUUCUGGUGUCAAAAAAUAAAAGAAAAAUAAAAUGGUGCACCUAGACAUGUCUGCCUCUUUAUAUAAUAUGUUUGAUGUAUUUGAGUUGAAAAAUCUGGGGUGCCUAAGUGAAGGUUUUGAAUGAAGGUAUAAAUUAAGCUUCAACUGUUUAAGUAUAAAGGUCAGUAUGACAUCAUGUAGAGCUUAUGUGCCCAAGUGAAGGUUUUGAAUUGAUUCUCAUGCUCUAGCAUGGUAUCAUAGUCCAGUGCAGCUUUCUCCUUCCUUCUAGGCCUACACAUCACAGGGAUGCUGAGUAAAUCCCUUAACAACCUAGCAGAAAGUUUUGCAUGGCCUAAUAAUCUGCUUGUACAUCUCUGUUUAGUAGUUUAAGCAUUUGGGUGUGAUUCCCUAGCAUCAACUUCCUUCUCAUGUGCAGUGGAUUAUGAUGGCAUUUUCUCUCCACUUAAGAGCGUGUUUAGCAUUGCUGUCAAAACACCGUUUGCCAAAAAUAUAAUUUUUUUUGCUUAAAAUUAUUUUUUUGUUGUUUUUGGACUAUUUUGAUGUGUUGAUGUCAAAAAUGUAUUUUAAAAAAUAAAGAAAACAUUAUUUUGAUGUGUUUUCGAACGAAAAACACUUUGAAAGCAACCACUACCGCAAUGUCAAACACGCUCUUAAUCCGAUUACUUACAUCAGAAUAUAAAAUUAAGAUAUGAGGUCUGUGAGACUCUUCAAUAUACAAAUUCCAUGUCCACCUUUAAAGAACAGAAUUUGACAAUUUUCAGUGAAGCCUUGCAGGCAGUAACUUCCAUGCACAUCGGUUAUCAAUUCACCAAGUUUUGUGUUAUAAUGUCACAUCUUUCUUCAUAUACCUCUGGCAUAGUAUUUCUAUUGUCAAAAAUUUCAUUCAUGUAUUUGAAACCACAACUACUGCAAAUAACAUUCCAUGGAGGUCUGCAACCAUUUUGCUCAGUCUGGAAGGAUUUCGAGUCCAGAUGUUAUGUCGUAGACAUGGUACUUUUGGGAAUAUCAAAUAUAGCACAUCACCAAAGAAUUUCCUUCAAAACACAAGCUAUAAAGUCUUUCUACUCUAAUUUUAUUGAAAGCUUUGCUUUCAUUAAUGAUCAUUCUUGCCCAAAUGAACUAGGCAACAUUAAUUGCACCCACACCCUAUGGGAGGGGGUAAACUGAAAUUCUUAGAAAGUUAUAACAUAUCUGAUGUUGAAAAAGGACCUUUGAACUCUGCAGACCAGUUUGCUGAUAAUACAGAUAGUUUAAUAUGACUUGUGGAACCUGAAAUAACAUCCACUAUUGAUAUGACACUAGAGAAUCCCAGUUUGGGAUCUGAUUCCCUGGAAAUGGAUAACGAUUCAUUAUCUAGUGCAAAGGCUGCUUUUGAUGAUUUUUUGGGCGAGGUUAGGGACUCCAUCAACACUUCAGUAAAUAAUGGAGGAAAUGUUGUGCAAAGCUCACUAGACACAAUUACUUCUUCAAUAACAUCGAUUAAGGAAGGUGCUUCAGAAGCAGUAGAUGGUGUCUUGAGUAAAGUAUUCUCUACUUUUGAUCAAACAGGAGAAUUAGCUAGCGAUAGAUUGACUAGCUUUUCAUCUGGUUUGAGGGAAGCCACACAAACUGCUACUGGCACUUCUAUUGAUGUGCUCAGAGUUGCAAUCACUGCAGUGGAGGAAUCUAUAGCAAAAGGGGCUUCUUUUGUUGUUUAUUCUUAUGGGCCUGCCAAGGAUUUGCUUCCUCCAAAGAUCAGAGGUGCACUGAAUCUGUCUGAAGAAAGGGUAACACAGAUUUUAAGGCCAAUUGGUGCAACUUUUCAACAGGUUUACAUUGCUAUUGAGGGGUUGGAGAAAAGGCUUGGCUUGGAUCCAAAUGAUCCAGUUGUGCCUUUUGUUCUUUUCCUUGGAACCUCAGCCACUUUGUGGGGUUUUUAUAGGGUGUGGGUAUAUGGUGGUUACUCUGGAGAUUUGUCUCCGCAAUUAACUUUGGAGCUCUUGGCAGGGAAGGAAGACGCCAUACUUAUUGAUGUCCGGCCUGAGGUGGACAUUGUUUAUAUGAAGGUUCUCAGAGAAAGAGAUGGCAUUCCUGAUCUUAGGCGAGCAGCUCGGUUUCGCUAUGCAAUUGUAACUCUACCAGAGGUUGAUGGCCCAGUAAGGAAGCUUUUAAAGGGUGGACGAGAUCUUGAUGACAUCUUAACUGCUGUAGUCAUUCGAAACUUGAAAGCUGUACAGGUAAUAGUUAUGGAUGUUGAUGGUUCUCGUUCUAAAGGCAUCGCUAGAUCCUUGAGAAAGCUUGGGGUUAAGAGACCAUACUUGGUCCAAGGUGGCUUCCAGUCUUGGGUAAAACAAGGUAUCCAAGCCAAGGAGCUUAAACCUGAGACCGUGCUAACCAUACUUAAUGAGGGUUUUGCUGCAGCAUCAUAUGCAUUGCUAGAGUGGGAGAAGACCUUACAAUUUAUUGCCAUCAUUGGCCUCAGUCAGCGGGUUGCUUCUUACAAUGGCCCUGAAGAUUUUAAGCAAGAUGUGAGGUUCUUGACCAUGUUCUGAUCAUGUUAAAAGCUCGAGUCGUGUUGAUAAGCAAACUGCCUAUGACAUUAUCAAGGCGUUUGCUCUCUCCUGUUAGACUUGGAGUCCAGACAUUUUCAUGGGCAGCAAGAAAACUGGAAAACAACCGCAUUGGUUUACCUACAUGACCUUCAUCUUCAGAUGUUCAAAACCGGGUGCUGCAAGCUGCUGCAAAGAAUGAAUCCCAACCAUCUGAAACUGAAGUUCCGAAUCCAUCACCUGAAUCAGUGACUCCAUUAAGGCCAUGUUUGUUUCCCGGAAAGUAAUUUCCGGAAAACCACUUUCCAAACUUUCCCGUGUUUGUUUGCCAUUAGAAAAGUUGGUCAACAGAAAACACUUUCCGGUCAACUAAAAACACUUUCCGGUAAAAAAAAAAAUUUGGCUUGGUUUUCAGGAAAGUGUUUUUCUUUUUGGCUGUGUUUGUUUUCUGGAAACUGGUUUCCGGGAAAUCACUUUCCAAACUUUCUUGUGUUUGUUUGCCAUUAGAAAAGUUGGUCAACGGAAAACACUUUCCAGUCAAAGGGAAAUUUGGCUUGGUUUUCAGGAAAAUGUUUUCCUGGAAAAUUUGGGCGGAAAACACUUUCCGGAAGUUGUGAAAAAUUUAGAAAUGUCAUUAUUUGCUGAUUAUAUCAAAUUUGAUCCUUAAACUUUUGAUAGCUAUAUAUAUUUUGUUUUGAAUAUUUAUUUUUUAAUUUCAUCUCUUAAAAUUUAACUUUUAUAUUAACUUUGGUUCUUAUUUUUAUAAUUGCUAUUUGCUUUUUCCUUAUUAUUUUUUUAUUAAAAUUUUUUAUUUAUCAAAUUUGGUCAUUAUUUUUUUAUUGUUACUUAUUUUAUUUGAAAUAAUUUAUGAAAUGUUGAUUAUUAUUAUUUUAAUUUCUUCAUCUUUUAUUUUUUUUUUAAUUUUUUAGAUUUGGUCUCUAUUAUUUUGAUUAUUAUUUAUUUUAUUUGAGAUAAUAUAUGAAAUUAUAUUUUUUUUUCAAUUUCAUUCUCAUUCGACUAUUUAAUUUGUAAGAUUUGUUCCUUAUUAUUUUAAUAAACUUGAGAAAAAUAAAAUAUUAAUAAGUUAUUUUUCAGCUCAUUUUCUAUGACAUAACCAAAUACUAGAAACUGUUUUUCAAUUUAUUUUCAUUACACUACCAAACAUCAAAAAAUAAUUCACUUUUCUGGAAUUUAUUUUUUAAAAAAUAAAAAUUACAUUCCAGCAAACAAUCUAAAUGAGAAAGUAGAUCUUUCAGAAGCAUAGUCAUCGAGGCGGCAUUUAUUGGAGUGUGGGGUGUAUAAUUAUUGGAGGCCGCAUUAAAUCUAAGAAGAUCACUUGGCUAAAUCUAAGAAGAGGUCUAGGUUGUGGCGAGUAAUUAAUCUCGUAAACACACUUGUAACUUUCAGAGGCCUUAAAUUUUGUCAAGAGAUUCUAUGGAUCCAAUUUUAUAAUGAGGUUGGUUAGCUGUAAAGGUCCCCAAUUCGGUUCAAAAAAUUUUGUUUGAAUUAA